UUAUUUCCUAAAUCACCCUCAUUUUUCAUGUUAAAAAUGAAUGUUAAGGAUAAUUUGGAUAACUCAGCCAUUUUAGACUCAUUAAUUUCAAAACACUCCCUAUUAAUUAGCAGGCCUAUUUUUGUCUCCAGAUAUCCCCCAAAACAUUUGCAACGAAACAUUUUUCAUUCUUUUCAGACACUUGCCAAGAUAAGUUUGAUUGUACUAUUUUCCCCUGAGUUUUCAAAAAGAUGUCUUAUUUCUUACUAAACUUCUUUGUUAAAGCAGAGAUUUUUAUGUCAUUAUUUCAUAUUCAAAUCAAUCAUUAAAGUUGUCAUUGUAGGAAAAGGAUAGAUACUGAGAUCUGAGCUCUUCUAACUCCCUGUCUUGAUCAUUUGGCUAAUGCUCAUCCAAAAGAAAGAUUAUUUAUGUUUUAGAGACAAACAUUUAAAUGAACCAAUUAUGAGCAAUAUCUAAAUCUAAAGUUUAGCUAAGGACGCAUACAUGCACACAUACUCACAUAUAAAUACAUGUUUAUACUCUUUGAAUGGUGACAUAAAAACUGAAAAUUGAAGAGGAUUCCAUCAUUAGGUGAAUGAUUUGACAAUUUGAUAUAUUAAUGUGGUAGAAUAACAGUGUGCUUUUAGAAAUGAUAGAGAUGGUUUCAGAGAAAUUUAGGAAGACUUGUUUGAAUCUGAUGAAAAAUAAAGUGAGCAGUUAUAGAAAAACAAUUCAUAAAAUAACUAAGUUCAUAACCAGCUCUAACAUGUUAAUACAGAAUUAUAAUUACUUUUCUUUCUUCAUCACCAGGGGCAGCUGGAUGGAGUGUAGGCUUCAAAUCGGGGAGACAACUUCAAAUCCAUCCUCAGGCUGUGGGUCAAAAUCAAAUGUACACCAUGGGAGUGGAGCCAAGAUGGUACAGUUAUCCUCAGAAGUGCUGUGCCACCAUGAGAAUCCUCUCCAUCCAUAA
rnacentral:lncRNA from 1 species